UGACGUUUUAUUGCAGCCCAUUUAACUGUUUGUACAGAAACUUUUUCAUUCUGCUAAAAUUUAUUUGGAGUUGUAUAUGAAACUAGGAGAACUCUGGAUACUUUUAUAUGCUCUCCUUCACGUAAAGAUGAUUAAAAUUGUCUAACACUAAAGUGUUAAACUGGAAUGGUUGACAAAGUACACAAGAUCUCAGUCUACAUAAAGGGUUGGGGGAAAUUAGUAUUUUCCUAAGUUUAUUCUGUUUUCCUUGCUAGAAAAAUCCCAUAAAAGGGAUAUUCUUGUCAGACCUCUGCCAUUUCUUCCAUCUGUGAGAGAGCAACGUGAUGUAACCACACCUGAGAGCAGGUACUGUCCUGUGUUACAAAAGAAUCACAUGGAAAAUUGUUAACCAAAAUAAGUGUAGAUUUCAGAAUCAUUCCAGCUCUACUCUUAACUGUCCUGAAUUUGUUAGAAACUGAUUUGAAAGAAAUGUUUCUUAAAAUUCCAUACACACACACACACAUAUUAUGAAUUGUCUUUAAUUGUAGUCAGAAUUUAUUAUAACAAUAUUUGAUUUGGACCAUUUUAAACAUUCCCUAUUUUAAAAUUCAUACGGCUUCCUUAAGAAGUAGAAUGAAAGGGUAAAUUGGUGACAUGUUUGCUCUCUGCAUUUUCUAACCUUCUACCGAAUUGUGACUGACUCAGAGAGCUCUAGCAUUUACCAGUGAGGUUCAGAAACUAAACUCUCAGGAAUUCAUUGCAUCUGUUGUAGAAGUGCUUCUGGGUCUGAGCCUGGCCUCCUCAGAGUGGUAAUACUGCCCACUUCCUCUGGAAAAUAGGCAGGGCUAAUGAGAAACUAAUCAAAUGAUUAACCUCUGCGGCCCUUCAGCCUUUGGAAUGCUUUAAAAAAAAAAAAAAAAAAAAGAAAGUAAAAAGAAUGCUAAUGGAAAACCCCAGGAGACAUUUUAGGUAAGAUUUUUUGUUUGACUUUUAAAUGCAUAGAACAUUAAAAACCAGCAAUUUAUUUUCUAAAAUAUUGCUCUACUUUUGGGAAUAAUAGCAUUGGUAAUAUGCACAGGUUUACCUCAUUCUAUGCAAGAGGGGUUAAUAACAUAAGGUUUUGUAGUAGCUACUGGAAGUAAAAUGUGUUACUUUUUAGUGUAAAAAUGUAUGGAAUCGCAUGUCACCAUUUUUUUAAUACUGACUCUGGGGGCUAAAUGCAGAUCACAUCAAUGCAAGUUGAUUCUUGUGUCAAAUAUAUGUGAAUUCAGCUGUAAAAUUACUGGAUAUUUAUCUUAACAGUGCUGAGAGGGACCUACUGUAAAUGUGACAUCCUCACACUUCCCAAAUCUUUGACUUGGAAGGAUCUUCCCAGAAGCUUAAAGCCUAGAAGAGGUCCAAAGCAAAGGUCAUAGCAGUCUUUAUUCUCAGGCUCAGCAUGAAACCCAGAACUGUGCUUCCAUGGUACCAGGGCAAGAAGCCUGUUGGAUGGGGUGCUCUCCUGCCUUGGGUGGAGGAGCUCUCCAGGGAACUAACUUUAAGCCAGGAAGGAUGUGAUUUCAAGGCAGCCAGUCCUGGUAAUCAGUUCUGUGAAAUAAUCAUUUGUAGCCAGGUUUUACAAGCUUCCAAUUCUACACCAAAACCAGGCUUGGCGUUAGAAUUCCCCGCCUACAUUCACAAAGUGUUUAUGUUCUCUAAUAGUGAAGGGUUGGUAAGGACUUGCUAGAGUCCAAACAGAACCCGAAGCCCUCUUCUUUGUUAAGACCCUCGCUCCUGCUGCUAACACAGACCGUUAACCAGAGGAGGCUUCCAUCGUAGCCAUAAUGCCUGUCGUCGUACAGCUCAGUAGCCCGUUCUCUUUCACAGUUCAACGUGUACUGCCGACCUUGGACUUGUUUGUGUUUUCCUGUUAGAAGCCUGGGAACUUUUAGUAGUUUAAUCUUUUUAACCAUUUUCCUUGCAGUGUAUGAGGAAAGCUAAAGCUGUUAUCAACUUCUUAUUCUGCGGAUACUAACACGGGUUUUCAGUGUUUGUUUGUUUUUAUUAUUAAUUAAUUUUGUGUGAUGUGAAUACCCUCGCCCAUCAAUAUUUGUAUUAUGGUGCUAUAUAUUUGGUAAUGAUCCUUUAAUAUUGGGGAGGGAUUUUAAAAAUACUGUGAUUAAACUGGGUAUCUUCCUUUGAUUUUCAUAUUUUAAAUAAAGCCACAGUCAUUUAUAC
rnacentral:lncRNA from 1 species